UCCAUAUGAUUUCGCACAUUCUCACUUUAGUAUUUUGUGGUUUGAAGUGUAUCAAGUUAGUGUCCUUUGGUUUCAUUUUUAUCUUUUCGUUAGCUUUUUCGUUAAUAUUUUGUUAAAUUAUAUAAAGAAAACUUCAGAUACUCUAUGUAGAUUUAUCGAAUAUUCACUUUAGUACUCUUUAGUUUUAACUUUGUCACUGAUUUAACAAAAGAAAUUAGUGGAAUCGAUAAUAAAAAGAUAAAAAUGAAAUCACAAGACACUAAAUUGAUACACUUUAAAUCACGGGGUAUUAAAAUGAGAAAGUAUGAAACCAUAGGGGUGGUGUCUGAAGUUUUCCCAAUUUUUUUUUCAUGCUUUUGUGACCAACUAAACACCCCCAUGUGUUUGUAGUACAUUUAGGGUGUGUUUGGUUCGAAGCCGGAGUCGGAAUCGGAAUCGGAAUAAAAAUAAGCUGGAAUCGGAAUGACCCAUUACCUAAUUUUGUUUCGUUCAUCACGUGACUCGGAAUCGGAAUAAAUCAUUCCCAUUGUCGGUGUUUGGUUCAGGUGGAUAUAAAAUACGUAAUCAAAUUAAUAUACUAACAUUAUCUUUAUAAUAUAUUAAUUUAAAUUCAAAUUAAAAAUUAAAAAUUAAAAAUUUAUAUCAAAAUUUUGAAAUAAUGUCAAAAUUUUAAUUCUAUUUUUUUUUUAAAAAAUUAAACUUUGAAGUUGAGUGGAUAAUUCAAAAUAUGAAACUAAAUUUUAAUUUAUUCAAAUCCAAACUUAAAAUUACAAUUAAAUUUUAAUUUGAAUCCAUAAAUUUAAUUUAAGUUUGAAAUAAAAUUUGAAUAAAACUUUAUAUAAAUUAAAAUUUAAUUUAAAUUCAAAUUCAUAAGUUAGAUUCGAAAUACUUGAUUAAAUUUUAAUUUUUAAUUUAAGUUNAAUUUAAAUUCAAAUUCAUAAGUUAGAUUCGAAAUACUUGAUUAAAUUUUAAUUUUUAAUUUAAGUUUAAAUUAAAAUUUAAAAUUAUAUAUUUAAUUUUUAAAAUUUAACUCAUAUUUUAAUUAAAAAAGUUGAAAAAAUAAAUUUAAUCCGAAUAAAUAUCCAUUCCGUCCGGAUUCAACUUUCAAUCCGGCAUCCUAGGCCGGAUUGAAAAAAGAGGUGAUUGGGGAAUUCCCAUUUCACUCGAGAAUCGGAAUCGGAAUUGGAAUGGGACUCCCGCGUAUCAAACAUCCACAAACGAUUUUACCCAUUCCGAUUCCGAUUCCAGGGUGAAAAAAAAGCGAACCAAACAUGCCCUUAGUUUCUAACGGAAUCAUUAAAUCUAAUGGAAUCAUUACAAUGGAUAUAUAGCAUAAAAACUUAAAGGGUGUCUUAAAUAAAAAAUAAAAUAAAAUAAAAUAAAAAAAACAGUUGAGGGAUAUAUCAUAUGUACCUUACCUAUAGGAUAACACAUAACAAUUUGAAAUGGGUACUUCUCACUUUGAAAAUUUUUGAUUCCGCAAUUUAACAUCUUUGAAUUUUUAAAAACUUUUCAGAAAUUUUGUCAAACCUUUCUAGAAUCUCCUAAUUCUCAUCAAAAUACUUCGCGCACUUUUUCACUAAUAAAUAGCAGAAUAUUCCAUCAAAUAAUUCUAAACUUUUGAGGGAGUCAUACUAAAUCAAAUCAAACAUAUAUUACUAGAUGAGGAAGCAUAAUCUUAAUUUGUGAAAGUUCAGGUACUCAUUUCAAAAUGCGGCAAAGUUUACAUUUUUGCCUAAAUAUUAUGCACAUCAAAAUUCUUUCUUUUCGCAAAAAUGCGGCGAGAAAAGGAAUUACAGAAAAGAAAAGAAAGUUACAAUUUUCUUCUUUUUUUUUUAUGAACUUUUUUUAAAACAAUCCUUAAAGAAGUUCGUAAUGUAAUUGGCCAAAUGAUUCUUCCAAAAUUUUAUUUGACCAACUUAGUGGCAGGUUGAACAAAUAUGAGAAAAAUGGUGAAUCGUUCACGAUCUUUAGAAAACGGUGAAUCAUUUUUCGUUUUCAGAUUAUUAUUUAUUUAUGGACAAAAUAGAAUUAUUAGGCUAAAUAAAAUUUUUUCAAGAGUUUAUUUGAAAAAACGAAAGUCCUCAAAUUAUUAUUAUUAUUAUUAUUAUUAUUAUUAUUAUUAAUAACAUGAAAGCAGCAAAAUGAUCAUUCUACUGACUCAGCUGAAGCUAAAAUUUGUUGCUUAAUCCACAUGACUAAUCAGAAUGUGAGUAUACAGAGGUAUGGGAGCAACUACACAAUCUAAUGAGAUAUAUAAGCGAAAAAAAAAAAGAAAAGAAAAAAAAUCAAAUAACCUAUUUUGCACAAAUGUGCAUAGAUAUUUACAAAUGCAGUUAAAAAAUUCCAGGGAAAGAGAAAUAAAAUUAGAAAACUAAAGAGACAAUAAUCACUGUAUUGGUUAAUAAAACACAAAAUAAACAUCCUUUUUCAAAUAUUUCCACAGUUACAAGGAGAAGAAAAACUAACAAUGAAACAUGAAUUGUCAGGUCAGUUUGCGAAAUCAGAGUCAAUAAAACCUACAGAGUCUGCUUUUCAGUUUUUACUGUCAAGAAGAAUUUUGCCUAUGAAUUGCUCCAAAUUUCCAGGAGAUCAAAGAGAGUGAAUCCGCGAACUCGUUAUACGUGUUUGUUGUCAUCUCCUUGUUGGUCGUAAAUUGUUAUUUACACUGACAGUCGUUCGUCGGCUUAUUCGUCAGUUUUUCUCCCGCUUGCUUCCGCAUCUGCAGUCGUCUCUUUCUUGUGAAAGAAUCUGUAAAAGAGAGUACGAUAUCGGAUAAAUUUCUUACCAAUUUGAACCAUUUCUCUCAUUCUUUUUUUGUUUCACUCUUCUUUUUAGCUCAAAUUCUAUGUUUACUUUCAUGGUGCAGCAAAAGGAUUUAUUUAUAUUAUUAUACACACCUGCACCUGGCUCUGCAAUCCCUUGAUGUGCUGAAUUGCCAGAUCCAACAUAUCUGCUGUGUUUGUUUGCUGCUAGACAUUAAAAAAAAGGGGGAAAAAAAGAGAAAAAGAUUAAUAAAAAUAAGAAGUAGGAUUACAUGACUAAACUCGUCGAGUUAACUAUAAACUAAUUGGUUUUUCUUGGCAGAGGAUAAACCCAGGUGAAAACUCACAGAGCAAGAAGAGUAUUUUAUCUCUCUCUUUCCUAGAAUAUCAAGCUAUUCCAAAUGCACCCUAAUAAGUAACUAGAAUUUUGAAGAGAAAAAUCUAGAAAUGAGGACACACUAACAUAUGGUGGAUCAUAAUAGAGCUCCAAGCUUUGGACAUGAGUAUAAUUUUCCUCCUUUUAAUGCAUGCACUGUGUAGAUGUAGAUAAUAUAAAAUCACCAAAUUUAUAUACCUUGUCCAUGUUGGGCACAAGCUCUUGUAGCUUCCUUAGCUUCUCACUUAUUCUUGUUCUCCUCUCCUAGCAUAAGGUGAGAAUUACAAGUUAACCUCAGAAAAACUUACACAUAUAAUGCAUAGAUAGGGAGAAACAUCAGUGGCAUACGGAUCGUUGAAUUGGAUGUCUCAUCAUCGAAAAUAACUUAGAAGCACCGAGCCCUCCGUACUUUCGACAGCGCAGGAGACGUACUCGUGUGUAUAUGGCUAUCGAUAUGAUUAAAUAAGUUAGGAUUGGGUAUUGCUUGUUUUGCUGUUCCAAUUCGCAAUUCAAAGGACUUUUUGCGAAUGAGGUAACCAUGACAUGGAUAUCUAUUAUCCGGAAAUACGCCACUAAAGGAAAAAUGUUUUAUUGCUGAUCAUUUAUCAUGUUCCAUGCGUUCUUAGAAAGGCUAAAAUGGUUCACAUCAUCCCCCUUAAAUUUCAAACAUUUCAUAGAAGGAAAGAGACCAAGAAGGUUAAAUGAAAUCUUAUAGUUUACGAUAUCCGCAGAUGGAAGUAUGAGCAUGGUUUAAAAUUUGAUCGAAUGUGAAUUGGUUUGCGACAUACCCUCUCAGCGAUGCUCCGCGGGUGCGUGGCGCAUCCGCGCUUAGCCCGGACUUUGAACGGGACCUGGUCUUGCUGGAUCUGCAGGAAGUUCUCCAUGGUUGCCAUUUCCAGCGACGAUCUCGGCAGGCCGAACUGAAAACAAUAGAGCAGUUAAAACCAGUAGAUUAGGUAAACAUCGGGCAAAAACCAUUAAUCGGAUAUUCAAUUACAUAUAUGACCAAUUCGACAAAUUCUGUUGAUUAUAACUUACAGGGAACUGCGACAUUGUUUGUGUUACGACAAACGCACAAACGGAAAACAAAAUGGCGAAUACGAAACAAGCAAACCACAAGCAGAAAAUAAAAAGAACACACAGAUUUACGUAGAAAACCUUUUGCAGGGAAAAACCACAGGCAAGGGAGGAGAUAACUUCACUAUCGAACGAAAAAGGAAAUACAAUGUUCAAAAGAUUACAACUAACCACGAUCUCACGCCUCUAGGGCAAAAACGAAAAGGAAGCUCAAAACGGGUUUCGGAUCCGAUCCGUACCGCGGGGGGCGGAGCCCCCGUACCCCCUACAGAAUGUCAGUGGUGGGCUACGGGCUCGGACCUGUCGGCCAGAGCCCUCCGCUACCCAUCACAGAUAUUCAUUUUUCCUUCACAAAAUUAAUUUCCAAUUUGGUCGCACCGCGAAACUGUCGGCGAGUCGAAAACCCGAACUUGAGUCAAUUAUCAAUUUCGAGUCACAUCUAACAGUUUGAUGUGAAUUUUAUCUUUCAUUGAUGAUUUCCUAGCACUAAGAUUUUUCAAGAAAUAGCUACUUAAUCAUUCUUUUCGAGUGAUGAUGCGGAUUUUGAAGUUAAAUACAUGAAAUGUUCCUGCUGCUCACGCUGAAACUCGAUAGAAUUCGGUUUCUGCAUCCCUGCAAAUUCACUGUUCUGACGGAUGUCUCGAAACACAACCAAAUCAAGUAAUUCGAUAUCAGAUCUUCUGGAAUCGAAUUGCGAUGAAUCGCUGUAAUGCAGUUCGAUUCGAUUCAAUACAGAUUUGAUAUCACUAGUCCUCUAACUUACUUCAUCACUGAGAUUACUGAUUACCUGGGACUCAAUGUGGCUGAGACUAGCCAUAACAUCCCCAUUGUUGUCUUUGCCUCGUUUGCUCACAGGUGCGGAGAAAACGAUUGAGUUGGUCUCAUCCCACGAGCCGAUAGAAAACCCGUUGGGGGCCAACGAAUGGCCGGCGUUCCCCUCGUCAGACUGACUGCUCUCCCCCACGUCAGAUAAGCCGAUCUCGGAGAUUUGCGACAGCGUGCUUUGCUGUCGCGAGAAGCUUAAGCUUAGCUGCGAAUUCAACCUUCUGUUAUCACCAGCCACUGCAUGAUCACUGUCGGAUCCUAGUCUCGAAUAGCUCUCGCGAUCUCUCGUCAGCGAAAGACCUAUAUCAGAUCAGAAAGGCAAGGCUCAUCAUGUCAGAAAACCGGAAAGAGUGCAGAUGAAGGAAAAUAUGAUGAAGUAAUGCGAGAAAUCAGAGCACUUUUAUCUUCAUGUACUUGCAAGAUGAAGGAAAAUAAGUUUUCGGAUUACGAAUUCCUAUUGAACAAAAAUACAUGCACAACAAGAUCUAAGUAAUGCUCUUUAAAAAUGAUAAAUUAGGACUUUUAUCUCAUUUUACUACACCAUGAGUAAGAAAACUUAUAUAUAUCAAGUGCACAUUAGGGACUUGUUUUGGAUACAAAAAAUAUCUGUUUAUGGUCGAAAAUCACUUCCUGCUAAUAAAUCCUGAAGUACAGAAUUCCAAAUCUACCCCUCUUUUAGGCUUCGUUUGGGAUUGCUGGGAGAUUGCGUUACGUGCGCUGAGAAAGUAUGAUGAGAAAAUAUCUUGUUUGUUUCCGUACGUAAUAUUGUGUUUCUUAUAUCGCGAUGAGUCGAUUAUGGUAUAUUUUCUGCGGCCCCACCGGAGAAUGUAGAAGCAUAAUCCUAUAUGCUUUUACCCUAACUCUACUAGGAAAAACUUUAAAUACCACUCCUGUGGUUUUCCACUUUCUCACUUUAGUGCCCUGUGGUUUAAAGUGUAUCAAUUUGAUACCUUGUGGUUUUAUUUUUCUCUUUUUAUUAUCAAUUUCACUAAUUUUUUUCGUUAAAUCAGUGACAAAGUUAAAACUAAAAGAUACUAAAAUAAAUAUUCGAUAAACCUAGAUGGGAUAUAUGAAGUUUUUGUAUAUAAUUUAACGAAAUAUUAACGAACAAAAGCUGACCACAGGACACUUAACUUGAUACACUUUAAACCACAGGGUACUAAAGUGAGAAAGUGUGAAACCGCAGAGAUGGUAUUUGAAAUUUACUUUUUUUAUAUAAUAGUAUUAGAAAGAGCUCAAUAUCAAACUAAGUCUUAUUAUUCUUUAUUUAUUUCUAUUUAUUUUGGAAACCGCCCACCCACCCGUAGUUGAGAAACACUUUUUAUUAGGAGGGUAAAAAUGUAUGGAGACCCCUCAACAAUAGACAACUCAGGAAAUUGUCCCCUCAUCUUUUUUUUUCUUUUUUUUUUUCAGCCUGUCCAAAGACUAAUUUUUGCUCUCUUGUCGUAUCAUUUUUUAAUAACUAAAUUUAUUUUGGAUUUUUUUUUUUUUUUUAGAGAUAGAUAGCACGCUACCUGCUUUGUUUAUUUCAUUUAGAAAUAAACUUAGCUAGAAAUGUUACGAACUUGGGUCUCGGAUAUCAAUUGUAUCAAAGUUAUAAUCGCUACAAUUCUUAUUGGGCUGUAGACUUAGAAUUUCUCCCCUUUAAAAAUUGAGAAAUUCUCAGCUUCUAAUUUUUUGAAACUAAGUUUAUUUUUUAGUAAAAAGUUGGUAGUUUUAUAAUUAACUACUAAAAUUAUUAAAUUUGCUAUUCUUUUUCACCUAACUAUGUGUCUAUGUAUGAAAAAUCAAAUUUAAAACAAAGGGAUAAAAAUGUAUAAAAUAUACCUCCACAAUCACCUAUAUAGAUGUGACUAUCUCACUUUUCAAAAUUUUAAUUUAAUUUUUUAUUUUUUUUAUUUUGAACCGAUUAGUGAUUCUUUAAUUUUAAAAUUUGAAUACAUCAUUUAUUUUUAUGAGUUCAGUUAAUACAUUUUUUUAUAAUGUAUGUAACAAUAAAUUCAUUAAAGUAAGCAAUUAUCUUAAAUUUUAACAUUUGAAAAGCUAUCAAAUUAAUUAAAUCAAACCAAUUGAAAGAUUAGAUACUAAAACCAAAAUUUUAAAAUUUCGAAUAGUAGAGUCGAAAUGAUUUAUAGUUCAGAUAAAUUUUAUACAUUUUUAGCUAAAAAAUUAGAAGGUAGGAAAUCUCCAUGAUAAAAAAGAAAAAUAGUUGAGGACCUAAUUUCGGAUCAGCCAUAGUUGAGGGGCCUCCAUACACUUUUACUAGAAUAAAAAAGGAGCAAUUGGGAUUUAAAAAAAGUGGAAUUUCGCUUUCCAUGGCUAUAAUAUUAUAAAAGGGAUUAAUUUCAUACAGAUCCCUGUAUGCAAAAUAAAUUAUAAAUAUAUCUCUAUAAAGUUCAAUUUUCACAUAUUUUCCUUGUAAAGGUUAUGAUAUUUUCAAAUAUAUCUAUACCGUCAGAAAAAAUUAAUUAACUAUAGAUAAAAUACUUAACCUAAAUAGUUAAUGAAGUGAAUUGACCUUUUUACCCCUCUUCAAUCAACCGUUGAAAUUUUUGGAGGGAUAUAUUUAUGAUGGCAAAAAAGUCAAUUCACUUAUAAAAUAGUGAUUUAACAGUAACAAACCAGAGGUGAAUUGAUCUUUUUACCCCUCUUCAAUCAACCGUUGAAACUUUUGGAGGGAUGUAUUUGUGAUGGCAAAAAGGUCAUUUAAAAAAUAAACAUUGAUUUAAAAGUAAUAAAUCAGAGGGACAUAUUUAAAAAUAUUAAGAUUUUUAUAGAGAUGACACAUGAAAAUUGAAUUUUAUAGCAAUAUAUUUGUAAUUCACAUUUGCAGGGACCUAUAUAAAAUUAAUCCUUAUAAGAAAUAUUAAAUUAAUAUUAAGGGUGAAAUCAUGGAUUGUACUUGUACUAUCCUUAAAUAUUUGAGAAUUGGUCCCUGUACUUUUUACUUUAUUACUCCAACAUAUUGUACUUUCACUUUCUUUUUCUAAAAAAAAAUAUUUUUUUGUCACGUAACCAUUUUGUAAAAUGGGACAAAUUGUACAGAUAUUGCAACUUAACAUCUAUAUAAUAUAAUAUUUUUAAUAUAUUAGUUUUAACAUUUUAAUAAAUAUUAUAUCUUUGUUCCAGUUUGUUAAAAAACAUAAUUUUUGCUACAGUAUACUAACACAUAUAUAUAUAUAUAUAUAUAUAGACACGCUUGCUUGCUCUCAGGGAGCACGGACCUCCGUGCCUCGCUGAUCCCGUUCGAUAUGGACCGUUUCAAUCGCACGAUCGGCUUCUGUUAAACUUGAGCUAGCUAUUUAAGUUCAGAAAAUUUUGCAUUUUCGAGUAUCAUUUACUAGAAUCGAAAGGAUUCAAAAAUCAUAAUUUUUAACCGGCUGAAAAUAAAAAUACUAUAAAAAGUGGUGAUAUAGCACUAAAAUUUUCGAUCAGAAAUAUAGAUCUUGUUGUAGAUCGUAUAAAGAAUUUUCUAUCAAAAUUUCAUCUGAUUUGAAUACUUCUACACCGUUAAACUUGAAAACGGCAGAUAUCAACCAUUAAAAAUUAUGGAUUUUGAAUCCUUUCGAUCACUAGGUAAAUGAUAUCGAAAAAUCGCAAAAAUUAUUUUCUAGAAACUUCAAAUGCACUAGAUCAAGUCUAACGGAGCCGAUCGUCGAUUUGAAAAUUCCAUCAUCGAAAACGGGUCAGGAGCACGGAGUCCUCCGUGCUCCUGAGAGCACAGCAGCCCUGCUCUAUAUAUAUAUAUAUAGAGAGAGAGAGAGAGAGAGAGAGAGAGAGAGAGAGAGAGAGAGGAUCCGGCUACUAUCCUAUUAGUAGGAUGGAGACUCUUGUUCUAUCAAGUCGAUUUAAAUGAUCGAAACUUUAAAUUGAUAAUCGGCACCGUUGAAGUUGAUCUACACAAUUAGAAAUGUUUAGAAACCAAAUUUUGUAAUAUUUAAAAAUUAUUAUCAAGUUCAUUUUAAGAGUUGAAAAAUGAACGGUCAUAAAUGAAUAACCUUCUUAAAAUAGAGAUUAGACUUUCUCAGUUCGUAAUCAGAAUUAUCAAACAUUAUCUAAAUAGUAUAAAGAAUUUUCUAUCAAAAAUUCAAGCAAUUUGGAUUGCUCUAUACCGUUAAACAAGCAAACGGCUCACAUAGGCCGUCAAAAAUUGUCGAUUUUACGACAUUUUGAUCAUCAUGUAAACCAUUAUCAAAAUUUAUAAAAUUUAGUUUCUAGAUAUUUCAAAUACUCUAGAUCAACUUCAACGGCUCCGAUCAUCGAUUCGGAAUCUUGAUCAUCAAGAACAACUUGAUAGGACAAGUGCUCUUAUCCUAUUAAUAGGAUAGUAGCAUUAGCCUAUAUAUAUAUAUAUAUAUAACUUUAAUUUUUAACUACUAAAUUUAUAUUUUAAAUAAAAUUAUAAAAUUAUAAAAAUGAAUGGUUUUAUUUGUUAUUGAGGAGUGUGGUUGUAAAUUUGUAAUGGGCCAAUGAAAUUUGAGAAAAAUAAGACGCAUAAUUUUUUUUAUUUUUUAGUAGAAUAAUAAAAAUUGUAUUUCAAUAAAGUUUGUAUGACAUGUUUUUUCUACAUUAAUAAAAUAUAUAAAAUACUUUUUUUUUGUACUAUGCUUUUGUAAUACGAUAAUUUCAAACUGAGCCUAAAUUAUUAAAAAUGGAUAAAACAACAACAAAGAGACCAGUUGUAAUAUUGGGAUAGUAUAGGGACCAUCCAUGAAUUUUACCUUAAAGAUUACAGUACCGCACAACUACAGAUUUUUUUUAUUUUUUUUAAUUAAGUCCCUCUCAUCUUAUAUGAAAAUUUUCAUCAAUUUUAAAAAUUUUACGUAUCAAAAAGUAAUUAAAAUUUUUAUAAAAUUGGUAUUCGAGAAAAUACUAAAGCUCUUCUUUUCUUUUUUUUUUGUAACUAAAAGUGUGAAGGUCGAGGGGGCUAGUUCAAAAUAUGAUGUAGUUGAGGGGGUCUUCAACAUUUUUACCUAAACUUUUUAGGAAGGGCCAAAAAAAAAAAAAAAGAAAAAGAAAAAAAGAAAAAUUGCGAAAAAAGGAAAAGGCCUUCUCACCGUUAUCCGCGAUGAAGAUUGGAGGAAGAAGGCCCCACGGGAAGCUCCUGUGCUCAUCCAAUGGAUUUCCCCUCUCCCCUCCUCCCUCCUCCUCUCCCUCCUCUCCCACCCUAACAGCUCCGAUCCCUCGCCGAGCGACGACGACAGACGAUGGGGGGGGUUUUGCACGCCGAUUCGGACGGACGUGGACGGAUAUGAGUCAGUAGCACAAAAAGGCGAUGCCGGGAAAUCGCCGGAGAAGAAGGGUGGAGCUCCGCCGCCGCGCCGGAUCGGGAGCCGAGCUGAAGGAGGACGCCCGGCGCGACGCCCACAGCGCAGAUAUGCGCGCGCCGCCGGCAUGGAGGCCCGCGCGGCGCGGCGACGGGAACAUCGGCGGCGGCGGCGCGGCGGCGGGAUCGGCUGCGGAGCGGUGGCUCGAGGAGGUUCGGUUCAUAUAUAACCCUAUCUUCGUUUUCUCUGUAUAAUUAAUAAUAAUAAUAAUAAUAAUAAUAAUAAUAGUAAUAACUACUACUACUGCUUUGUUUGUGUUAGAGAGAGAGAGAGAGAGAGAGAGUAGAGAGAGAAAGGGGGGAUGAGGAUGAUAAAAGGGAGAGGGGCGGCUAAGGAUGGCGAUGUGUACGGAUACCAGAAAUUUUAUUCGAACCUGUAUUCCAACGGAGCAGAUUUAUUCUAUGCUAAAAGAACAUGAUUUCGAACAUGGAUAUCAAAAAUAAAAAUGCAACGGAUAUAAAUUUGGAUAUAAAUUUUGACUGUAUCCGAACCGAAUAUGCAUCCGACCUAAACCCGAAUUAUAUUUAAUUUUGUAUUUUAAAAUUUUAGAUUGAGUGUAAUAUAUUUUGAAAUAUUGAGAAGAGAAAUAAUUAUUUUUGGUUUAGAUUUUUGGGUUCGAAUUCGAAUUUUGAAUUGUUAAUCAGAUUCGGAUUUAAAUAUGAAUUUUUACAAUAUAUCGAGUUCGGAUUUAGAGUCGAAUUCAGUUCAAAUUUUUAAAAAUUCAUCCCGAAUCUGACCAGGUCUUUGGGGCGGCUCGUGAUUUGCCCUAGGGAGUAGCGUGGCGGUGGUGGUGGGGACCUCUGGAAUAGUAAAAUAUGGAAGAUUCGCUUCGGAGGAGUUGCUAUUUAUUUAUUUAUUUAUUUAUGAGUUUAGAAAAUUGAGGGGAUUGAUGGUGAUUAGCAUUGCUAAGAAGUGUGACAUUUUUGUCCGUUUCACCCAAGUUGGAGUUUGGAUUAAACUAGGUUUUAAUGAAUUAGAAUUUAGAUUAAAAAAAAAAUUCUUUCACUAUUUAUUUUUCUAUCUCUCAGUUAUAGUUUUUCGAGUUUUAUUAUUUAUUUAGUAAAAAAUAAAUAAUAUAAAAAUUAAAAAAAAUAAUAUUUUAUUAUUAUUAUUAUUAUUAUUGACAUUGACUUCGGCCUCAGGUGGCCGCCGAAGUCUGUUUGGAUGCUUGAAUAUUUUGUUGGGUAUAUAUAAAAAGAGUAAUGCUACAUAUACAUUCUACUUUGGAGGUAUAUUUUACACCUUAUUCAUCUAAUAGGUGAGAUGUUUUUACUAAUUAUUUGAUGUGACUGGUAGUUAACACCCUACCUUUUGAAUAGGUGGGAUGUAUAAGUAGCAUUUUCCAUAUAAGAAUGACUACGGGAUAGAGUGGGGACGGGACCUUCCCCAUUUCCAUCCCCGUGGGCUUUUAGAAUCCCCGUUCUAGCCAAAUCUCCUUUAAUGGAAAAUACCCGUCCCUCCGGAAUUUCGUAGAUCUUUUGAAAAUAUACUAAAUUAAUUGUAACACACUUAAGAUUUGAAAUAUUUCUGUAUAUAAGAUGUAAUACGGCUAAACCUCUUAAUUCGGCUAUAAUAUUUUGGGCGGUGAUUAAACGUAAGAGAUUAAGAGGGUUAAACAUAUUAGGAUUAAAGUAAUUCUAGAAUGGACAACCCCCUUGGGAAUAGGGACGUCACAGUUGGUAUCAGAGUAAAUUACCGGCCAGAAUUGUGUAGGAUGAAUCUCCGCUGAGCUAGGGUCAUGCGGUGUGUAGAGCGCGGCUCCCCGAUUAACGGUCGUUAUGGAUGGAGCGCAAUUUUUCAUAAGGUCAGCUAAAAUUAGUAAGACGAGUCUCAUAUUACUUGACCCUUGUGGAUAUUUUUGAGCUUCACGAAGACAUCAAGAUUUAAAAGGAAGAUGAAUAUAACACCUCUAGAAUUUCGAAUAAUCGGCUAAACUUUUUAACCCAUUUAUAACAUUUUAGAUGGUGGCUAAAUUUAAGAAGUUAAGAGAGUUGAGCGUAUUAGGCUAUAAUAAUUCUAAAAUAUAUGACCUACCUAGAAAAACGGGCGUACGUCACAUUACCUUUUUCAUUUAAAAUUUAAUUCAAUUUUAAUUCAAAUUAUCUUAAAUUUUAUCCACUUUUACGUUUAUUUUUUUCAAUAUCAAAUUAUUAAUUUUGACUUAUUAAAUUACUAUAAUAGCAAUCAAAUAUUAUUUAAUUGAUAUAUUAUAUAAAAAAGUAUACAUAUUAAAAAUACUUAAUUAAACUUAAAAUAUAUUAAAAAUAUUAGAAUUAAUUUUUUACAUUUACUAGUUAUAGUGUACGUACAAUACACGUCACAUUUACUAAUUAAUUUAAAUUUAAAUAUAAUUUUCCUAUAAAAUGAAAUCUAAAUUUGUAUUUUAAAUUUAAAUAUUUAUCGGUAGCAUGAGUCCAUUUUUCAAUUAAUCUAGUUUCUAAAUUUGAUUUGUUUCAGUUUAUUUUUAGUUUGUUAAUUAUAAUUAUUUUUUUUAAUAAUAUGUAUGGAAUAUUUUUUAUUCCAUAUAGAAUUCCAUCUGACAAUUCCUAUCCACUUUUACUUGAAAAGUUUAUGUAUUUACUUGAUAGAGAGAGUGAUCAAAUGUCUAAAAUUGAAUGCUAUAUUUAGUCUUUAAAUUAUUUUUUCAAAUAAAAUAAAUUACCUAUUAGGUGAAAUAUGCUAUGUUAUCAACUAUGGAUAGCAAAACCAUUCAAAAAAGCAAAAAGUCUACUAUCAUAUUAAAAAAUUUUCAAAUAGAAUAAUUUAUCCUUAGAUAACUUAUUCCAAUGUCGAGACAGGCCAUAAUAUUUUUUGAAAAUUCAUUCACAACCAGUUAAAACUCUAUACGCAUGAAUGCCAAUAUAUUAACAAUAUAUUUAAAAACAGGUUUUAGAGAGACCUUAUCACACAUGACAGUGUUUUUAUUUUUUCCCCUUUGUUUUCUUUUCCCUCUAGGCUAUUGUGCACCAUGUGAGGCAUGAUUUUGGCAGUACCUGUGUCAGUUAAAAGAUUUGGUGAGAUAAAUAAACUGUUGUUAAACAGCAAAUGAUUGGGUUUUUGUGGUUUGUGGGAAAACAUGCAAUUAGGGAAAAAAAAAAAAAAAAAAAAAAAAACUAUAUUUGAAGUAGUUAAACAAAAAGAAACAAAAAAGCCUUUAUGAAUAGAUUUUGGGAGCACUCUUUAGCCUGAAGUGGCAAGGAUCUGCUUUAAUGCUUAUCCUACUACUAGCUCUUAAGAAGCUAUUGUUCAUGGUAUGGAUUGGGUGGUGGUACAAGGGAGGUUAUUUUCUUUCCUUGGAAGUGAUCAUCAUAUGUAAGUUAGGGCACCUUAUGUUUCUGGCCCGAUUUCGUUAUAAUUGGUAUGAAUGUGGUACAGUUUCAACAAGCGAGUGAUUCAGCAAUAAAUACUGAACUUUCUGUGAGGUUAGGUAGCUUUUACGAUACGUGGUGGUCCUUAAUUCGACGGUGGGAGCGUGAGAAUUGCGCCAAUGGCAGAUAAAUACUAAAGAUAUCUAAAAAGGAUUGGUUAAACAUAGUUGAUAAGUCAAAUUUUUCAACGUAACAUUUGAGAUAGAACGCUUUCUUGUAACUUUGAGCCAUUCAAUCCAAUUGCAGUAGAUUGUCAAGAAUAAAGGUAAGUGAGUUGCCUGAGUUACAUUAAUUCUAUUAUUUUAAAGCAACUCUUUUAUCUCUUGUAAAAUUAUAGGAAACAAUCAUUUUCUCAAAAAGCUUAAACUGUCAGAAAAUAAUAUUUUUAAUAUUUAUAUUCAACACUCCCUCUUACGUCUCGAUUCAAAUAAGGCGUGGACUUGAAUUAAAUGGAGAAAAUUAAAUGAGACUAGGGGCUUGGUGAGACUCGAAUUUAAAACCUUCUGUUCUGACUUCUGAUACGAUGUGAAAUUAUAUAAAACAACCAUUUUCUCAAAAAACUUAAGCCGUUAGAUUAUAAUGUUUUUAAUAUUUAUAUUUAAUAUUUCUAAGCUUAUAUAAAUAUAUAAAACUGGCUCAUUCUAUCAUAUAACAAGCCGGCUAAAAUGAAUGGCUGGUGUUAAAAAAAAAAAAGAAAAAAAGAAAAAAAAAAAAAAGCUCUUCUACCUGAAGAUGGGUUUAGUCUCUUUUUUUUUUAGCAAUACACUAAUUAAAUAACAGAUGAGGAAAUUAGAUUAAAUUGAUACAUUUUUAGAUCUUCAAGAGCGAUUAAAAGUUUGGUAGAAAUAUACAAAACUUAUCUGAACUAUAGACUAUUUUGAUUCGACCAUCUAAUCUUUCAAAAUUUUAAUUUUAGCACCCAACAUUUCAAAUUGUUUGAUCUAAGUAAUUUGUUGGUUCUUCGGAUAUAAAAUUUAAGCUAAUUGCUUUACUUUAAUAAAUAUAUGUCAUAUAAAUUGCAUAAAAUAUACUAACUAAAUUCAUAAAGUUAAAUAACGCAUUCGAAUUUUAAAGUUAAAAAGUCAUUAAUUAAUUGGGUCACAUCAAAUAAAUUAAAAGAUCAGAUAGUAAAACCAAAAGUUCUAAAGGUUCAGUGGUCGGAUUCAAAAAGAUGAUAGUUGAGGUAAGUUUUAUACAGAAUUACCUAAAAUUUAUUUAAAGCGUAGGAGCCAAAGUAAAACUUUCGGAUCGAGCCGUUCGGGGAUUAACCUUGGAAUUUACCCUUGUGUUCCAUAAUACUAAGCAACAACAUUGUAUUUAGGACUCUAUUAUGUAUGGCCAAAGCUGUUCAAAAGAACUUUACUUCUUCAGUUUUUGGAUCUAAAAAGUAUAUAUUUAAGUGAAAAUAAGUGGAUAUAUUAUUUGUUCAAUCCAGUUUUUGCUAGCUGUUAUAAUUGGCUUCUUCUUCUUUUUUUACAUUUUCAUAUCUAUGUUGGAUUAGGCCCAAAUUUUAAUGCCAAGAAUGCUACAAGUGGACAUGUCUCCAAUAAUUUAGUUAUAAAUGACUUUAAUAUUUGAAUUACUAGUGGUUAUGAAGGUAUCUAAAUGGUCUAUUUUGUGAAUUGGUUUAUUUUCUUUUAUAUUCUCAGGGAAGUGGUUUAUGUUGAUUUGACUUUUUUUUUCCCUUAAUUUUUCUAGACUUAGGAGGGUCCUUUUUGGUCAAUGUUUUUUAUGGAUUUUUUUCUUUUUCUUUUUCCUUUUUUUUUUUUUAUGGAACUUUAUGGUCAAAUUUGUAUUGAGAUGGAUACAACUAGAUAAAAGCUUGUUUAUUUCAAAAGGUUUAAGUUACAACCAGAUAUCUUUUUUUCAUACUCUUUUAUAAGCUAUAUUUUAGGUCUGGUUCAGUAUGAAUGCAAUCUACUUAUCAUUUUUAAAAAAAUGAGUGUAAUCUAUUUGAAUUGAUUAUGUGAAAAAGAUGUAAAUUAGUUUAAUCUACAAUACUAAAUUAAGGCUGCGUUUGGUUCGGGUUAGCCUAGCCGGAUUACAGGCAAUCAUGUCAGGAUUACUGCGUUUGGCUCAUCCGGUAUGUAAUCUAUUUGGUAUUAGAUGUAUUCUUGAAUGUGAAUCCUCGACGGUGGCUGCUUUGACGUGGGUCUUUGGACUGAGCGAGCAGGCCGCGCGUAGGCGGUAUGGCCGCGGAUGUUGUCGGGCGCAUGAAGCACAACGGUGGAAAAUGUGACCUAGCUUGGUGGCCAGCCUCAGUAUUGGGGUUGCUCGUUGGGGAACUCGUGGAGUCCGACGAGGGGUUCGAAUGCAGGCGAUUGGUUGAGCUGUCAGUCUCGCGCAGAAGCAAGCUUGGCAAAUGCUUGGAUUGAUAUUCCGCUGUUAAGUUUGGGAGACUUGUCUAUGUUAAGACUUGGGGAAGACUUGCUCAUCUUCGAGCAGGAAGGGGGCGCCGCACGGGCUUUACGAAGAAAAAAGUUAUGUCCGUGACAGUUGGUGUGUAAGAUUACACCGAAAAAUAUUACCGAUGAGAGGGUGUGUAUCUUGGAUUACUGAAAGCAACUAAUCUUGCAUGUUAUAUAAAAUUACAAGUUUAUCCGUCCAACUCCCUAAACCCUCUCAAUAUGUCAUUUUGAAAAUUUUAAUAUAAAAUUUUGAGUUGUCAAAUUUUAAAUUUUAAAUUUAGAUUUUAAAUUUUAAAUUUUAAAUUUUAAAUUUUAAAUUUUGAAACUUCAAAUUUAAAAUUUAAAAUUUAAAAUUUAAAAUUUAAAAUUUUUAUUUUUAUUUUAAAUUUUAAAUUUUUAGUUUCAAAGUUUAAAUUUCAAAGUUUAAAUUUUAAAUUUUAAAUUUUAAUUUUUAAUUUUUAAUUUUUAAUUUUUAAAUUUUAAAUUUUAAAUUUCAAAUUUGUAUUUAAAAUUUUAAAUUCUAAAUUUUAAAUUUUGAAUUUAAAUUUAUAUUUAAAUUUUAAAUUUUAAAUUUAUAAAUUUUAUAUAUACAUUUGAAAUUAAAAUAUUAAAUUUUAUAUUUUUGUUUCUAAUUUAAAAAUUUUUAAAAAUCUAAAUUAUUUAAAAUAAAAUUUAGAAAAAAAUAUUAUUUGUAAACAGUAAAAAAAAUUUUGCCAAAUAUGGCUAAGGGUAAUUUUAGAAUAAACUAUACUUUAUUGUCAAGAUUACUAAUUUUAUAGACUGAAUCAAAUAUAAUAAUACUAUAAACACUGCAAUCCAACAUUACAUUACUAUAUUAAACCAAACAUGCUAAUACAAAAUCAAUAGUAAUAUCAUUUAGAAAUUCAAGAUAUCUAUAUAUAUCGAAAUAUUUUGUAAUAUUACAUAACUCGAACCAAAUGCACCCUAAGGGCAUGUUUGGUUCACACUUUUUUCACCCUGAAAUCGGAAUUGGAAUGGGUGAAUCUGUUUGUGGGUGUUUGGUACGCGGGAGUCCCAUUCCAAUUUUGAUUCCCGAAUAGAAUGGGAAUCCUCUAAUCACCUCUUUUUUCAAUCCGGCCUAGGAGGUCGGAUUGGAAGUUGAAUCCGAACGGAAUGGAUAUUUAUUCCGAUUAAAUUUAUUUUUUCAACUUUUUUAAUUAAAAUAUUAGUUAAAAUUAAAAAAUUGAAUAUAUAAUUUUAAAUUUUAAUUUGAACUUAAAUUAAAAAUUAAAAUUUAAUCAAGUAUUUCGAAUCUAACUUAUGAAUUUGAAUUUAAAUUAAAUUUUAAUUUAUAUAAAGUUUUAUUCAAAUUUUAUUUCAAACUUAAAUUAAAUUUAUGAAUUCAAAUUAAAAUUUAAAUUGUAAUUUUAAGUUUGAAUUUGAAUAAAUCAAAAUUUAGUUUCAUAUUUUGAAUUAUCCACUCAACUUCAAAGUUUAAUUUUUUUAAAAAAAAAAGAUUUAAAAUUUUGAUAUUAUUUCAAAAUUUUGAUGUAAAUUUUUUAUAUUUAAUUUUUCAUUUGAAUUUAAAUUAAUAUAUUAUAAAGAUAAUGUUAGUAUAUUAAUUUAAUUACGUUUUUUAUAUCCACCUGAACCAAACACCGACAAUGGAAAUGAUUUAUUCUGAUUCCGAUUCAGGUGAUGAACCAAACAGAAUUAGGUAAUAAGUCAUUCCGAUUCCGAUUUCAGCUUAUUUUGAUUCCGAUUCCGAUUCCGAUUCCGACUCCGACUUCGAAUCAAAUACGCCCUAAGAGUUAUAUUAUAAAACCUAGUUUGUACUUGUCCUCUGAUUGCUAUAGACGGUCGCUUUCAAACUCACGAUGUGUUUUAAAAAAUGGUCUGAUAUCAUGUCAAAUAAUUAAAAGUUCAAAUAAAUAGAGAGUAGUUUUUUUAAUCAUUUUAGCUUAACACAUUCGGCCAAUGAAUCAUUUAGUUGUAAAUACAAGUAAAAUAAGGAGAUAUUUCACGAAUAAGGGACAUAUCCUCCUAUUUGUUUCAAAAAAUGAAAGAAAAAAAUAAUUGGUGGAACAAUUUAACUCAAUCAAAUUAUGUUACUGUAUCGCAACUUUUCCACCAAUUGGUAUUAGAGCAAACAGUUUAAUAACGAACUAUUAUUAAACCAUGAACAGCUCCGCACAAAUAGCACUUCUAUAGAAGCUUUUCUAAAAAAAACUAUGAACUCCGAAUUGAAUUUUUCCGAACAACCUGAAAAUUCAGUUUAUGUGUCCUAGAUGGACAUUUGAGUUCGGUCCAACUGGGUCUAAAGUGGGCCCAAAUAGAGUCUAACAGCCCAAUUCUGAGUUUUGGGCUUGGGCAUGACGAGUUUCGGCUCGCAUACAUGAAUUUGGCCCAAGGCCCUUUUAUAUUAAUUUUGAAAUAUAUAUACAUAGCUCUUUAUUAUUACUUUUAAGGGUUUUUUUUGCAAAUAGCCCCCUGAUAAAAUUUUAUUUUAAAUUGGCCCUGUCAAAAAUUUAUUUGCAAAAAUGGCCCUGCUCCUGCCACGCAAGUGUCACGUCAGCGCCACACAGGCGGGGCAGGAGUUUAAGUUGAACACGGUGAAUGGUUUACCGUGUCCAAUACAAAUAUCAUAUUGGACACGGUGAACCAUUCACCGUGUCCAAUACAAAUAUCCUCACUUAGUCAAAAAUUGGCUAAGGCGAGUUAAUUGUAUUGGACACGGUGAAUGAUUCACCGUGUCCAAUACAACUACCUAGGACUUAGUCAUUUUUUGACUAAGGAUGUAUUAGUAUUGAAUACGGUGAAUGGUUUACCGUGUCCAAUAUGAUAUUUGUAUUGGACACGGUGAACCAUUCACCGUGUUCAACUCAAAGUCCUGCCCCGCCCGCGUGGUGCUGACGUGGCGUUUGCGUGGCAGGGGCAGAGCUAUUUUUGCAAAUAAAUUUUUAACAGGGCCAAUUUAAAAUAAAAUUUUGUGAAGAGACUAUUUGUAAAAAAAAGCCCUACUUUUAAAUAUAUAAAUAGUAUGUUAAAAUUUUUGUUUGACCCCCUCUGACAAUUGUGUUCCCGGUACAUCUGACGAUCAAUUAAAAUUUGACGACUAAAAUAUUACGCAUCUCAUAAUUCAAAUAAAAAAUUAAUUAAAAUUUAAAAACUAAAAUACCAUACACAGCACAAGUUAAAAAUUUAAAAUAUUAAAUAGUUAAUUAAAAAUAAUUUACAUUUAGAUAAAUUAUGUCUGUUUUUACCAAAUUUUUUUUAUAGAAAAUUCAUUUCGAAUCCGGCUUUUAUACAACAGUUCUUUUGCCCUUUACUUUUAUUAUUAUUACUCUUCCCAAAGAGGAAUAUUACAAUAGCAACUGCUUUUUUCCAAAAGCACUUUUUUUUCUUUUUUUUUUUUUUGUGAAAAACACAUCCUCUCUCUCUCUCUCUCUCUCUCUCUCUCUCUCUUGAGUAAGUGAGUGAUCUCUUCUCUUUAACCCUCCAAUGCCGUGGGAAUAAUCUCCACUCCCCACUUCCCACUCUUAAACCCUAACCCUAAACCCUAAUUCCUUGAACCCUAACCCCAUGAACUCCCUCUUCUUCUUCUUCCUCCUUCUCCUCCUCUUCUCCCUCGCCGGCGCCGGCGCCGGCGCCGACGGCGGAGACCGCGCGGCGCUGCUCGGCGUGCGCGCGGAGGUCGUGGACCCGCGCGGGGCGCUCUCGUCGUGGGCCGGGCCGCUCGGGGCGAACUGGAGCGGCGUGGUCCUCUCGAACCGGACCGGGCGCGUGGUCGGCGUCUCCCUCUCCGGCGUCUCCCUCUCCGGCGGCGUGCCCCUCUCCCUCUGCCUCCUCCGCCGCCUCGAAACCCUCGACCUCUCCGGCAACUCCCUCUCCGGCCGCUUCGCCUCCUUCCACGGCGACGUCCCCGCCGCCCUCUUCGCCCUCCCCGCCCUCCGCCGCCUCGACCUCUCCCACAACCGCGCCCUCGCCGGCGCCCUCGCCGACGUCGCCGCCCCGCUCGAGCUCCUCAGCCUCGCCGCCAACCGCAUCUCCGGCACCCUCCCCUGCUUCGCCGCCGCCUCGCGCUCGCUCGCCGCGCUCGACCUCUCCGCCAACGCCGUCGCCGGCGGCGUCCCCGCCUGCCUCGCCGACCUCCGCGCCCUCCGAUCCCUCAACCUCUCCGGCAACCGCCUCUCCUACCGCCUCUCCCCGCGCCUCGCCUUCUCCGGCCGCCUCCUCGCCCUCGACCUGAGCUCCAACCGCCUCUCCGGCCCCGUCCCCCGCCGCAUCGUCGACGAUCCGGACAGAUCGGCGCUGAUCCUCCUCGACCUCUCGCGCAACCGCUUCUCCGGCGCCAUCCCGGAGGAGAUCACGGAGCUCCGGAGCCUGCAGGGCCUCUUCCUCUCGCGCAACCAGUUGUCCGGCGAGAUCCCCGCCGGGAUCGGGAACCUGACCUACCUGCAGGCCCUGGAUCUCUCCCGCAACCGGCUCUCCGGCGCCAUCCCGGUGAGCCUCGCCGGGUGCUUCCAGCUGACGCUGCUCGAUCUCGGCCGCAACCAGCUCUCCGGCGCGCUGCGCCCGGAGCUCGACGCCCUCGACAGCCUCCGCAUCCUCGACCUCUCCGGGAACCGGAUCUCCGGCGAGAUCCCGCUCCCGCUCGCCGGCUGCAAGUCCCUCGAGGUCGUCGACCUCAGCGGCAACGAGCUCGCCGGCGAGCUCAGCGGCGCCGUGCUCAAGUGGCAGAGCCUCCGCUCCCUCUCCCUCGCCUCCAACCGCCUCUCCGGGACCCUCCCCGAUUGGAUCUUCUCGUUCCCCUCCCUCCGGUGGCUCGACCUCUCCGACAACCACCUCGCGGGGUUCAUCCCCGACGGCAAUUUCAAUGUGAGCGCCGAAUUCAAUGACAACCGGAGCCGCGACACGGCGAGCCCCCUCGCGGGAUUCGCCGCUUGGUCGUCGGUCGACCUCGAUGCCGGAAGCCGGCAGCUGGAUCUCGAGUACUCGAUUGUAUCGGCGGUCGGGAUCGACUUGUCCCAGAAUGCGAUCCGCGGGAACAUCCCGGAGGGUCUCUUCGGGAUGACGGGGUUGGAGUAUCUCAAUCUUUCGUACAACAAUCUCGACGGCCGGGUGCCGGCGGAGAUGGCGGGGUUGGAGCGGCUCAAAUGGCUCGACCUCGCGCACAAUGCGCUGUCGGGGGAGGUGCCGCGCGGCGGGAUGAGGAGGUUCCCGGGAGCGUUCGCGGGGAACCCGCGGCUCUGCGUGGAGGUGGCCUCUGCGGAUUGCGCGGCGGAGGCGAAGAUGCCGGAGGGGGAGGCGGCGGCGGCAGCGGCGGAGGAUUCGGGGGGAGGCGGCGGUGGCGGCGGCAGCGGAGGAGGGGAGAAGGGGUGGGUUUCGAUCGGGGCGUAUUGGAUUAGCGCGGUGACGAGCUUUUACGUGUCGAUCGUCACCUUGCUCUGCUCCGGCAAGGCGAGGGGGCUCGUUUUCCGGGCGGUGGCGCCGGAGUUUUAGGAUGGGAGAUGGGAGAGAUUUGAUGUACAGAGUGUGGUGUAUCAGUGUAGCUGUUUAACUUAGUAGUUAUUUCAGUUUAAGUUCCAUUGCAGAUUUUAUUGAAUUUACAAGGAAAUGCUUUGUGUUUUGUGUGUGUGUUUUUUUUUUCUUUUUCGUUUUUGCCUUUUUGGGGGCCAUGUGAUCUUGCAUUGCAACUUUGAUCAAAUAUUGGUUGAAUGGUAUGAUUUACCGGAUGGAAAUGAUAAAAAGAUAAAUUUAACGGUCGAAAAUUUAUGAGUAAAAAAAAAAAUUUAUAUUCAUAAGAAUGUAGUAGCUGGACUCUAUAUAUAGGCUAGAGCUACUAAACUCUUAUAAGUAUAAAGCUCUUUUUGCUUAUAAGUUUUCGGUCGUUGGAUGAAGAGAUGUGCGGUUGGGAUAAUAGUGGUCUUCAGUUAGGAUGAUAGUGGUCCUUUAAGAUUGAGUAGGUGGUUGGUUGAAUAGUAUGAUCUAACGGAUUGAAAUAGUCAAAGGGGUAGAUUUAAUGACCGAGAACUUAUGAGUACAAAUGAAUUUAUACUCAUAAGAGUGUAAUAACCGGACUCUAUAUAUAUAUAAAAUUCGACUACUAUACUCUUAUGAGUACGAUCAUCUUCGUACUUAUAAGUUAUUUUCGAUGAUAGAGCUUCUGAAUCGGCUAUUUAUAUCGUUAAGCAUUAUACUAGAGUAUUUAAAACUUCUAAAAAUCAAAUUUUAUCAGUACGAAGAGCUCUAUAUUCAUAAAAGUAGAGUAACUUUACUCUCUCUCUCUCUCUCUCUCUCUCUCUCUAUAUAUAUAUAUAUAUAGAGUACGUCUCCCGUGCUUUCGAAAGUACGGAGGCCUCCGUACUUGUAAGUUGUUUUCGAUGAUAGGAUAUCCAAUUCGACGAUCGGCUCCAUUAGGCAUAAUCUAUACUAUUGGAACUAUCUAGAAACCAAAUUUUAUAAUUUUUCGACAUCAUUUACUAUGCGAUCACAGGGUCUCAAAUAACGGCCGAUGUGGCACAUUUUUAAGUUCAACGGUGUAGAAGUAUCCAAAUUAUAUGAAACUUUAAUAAAAAAUUCUACUUAACAUCAAGAGUAAGAACAAUACUUCCGAUUUGAAAUUUGAGUCAUUUAUCACUAUUUUUUAUGAGAUUUUUAUUUUCAGCCGUUCAUUUUGAGGCUACUUGUUCAUUAAGCAAACGAAGUCAAAAAAUUAUGAAAUUUAGUUUCUAGAUAGUUUCAAUAGUGUAGAUUAUGUUUAACGGAACCGAUCGCCGAAUCAGACGUCCCAUCGUUGGAAACAAUUUACAAGCACGAAGGCCUCCGUACUUUCGAAAGCAUAGGAGCCUAACUCUCUCUCUCUCUCUCUCUCUCUCUCUCUAUAUAUAUAUAUACCUUUUUAAUCAUUUUCACCCGUUAGAUCAUACUAUUCAACCAACCACCCACUCGACCCUAGGGGACCCACGUCAUCCUAACACACAUUCUUAUAUCCAAUGGCCAAAACUUGCAGCACAAGUGCUUCGUGCUAUUAAUAGGGAGCUAUUAAUAGCACGAAGCACUUGGUGCUGCAAGUUUUUGGCCAUUGGAUUAAGAGAUGUGUGGUUAGGAUGAGUGGUCCCCUAGGGUCGAGUGGGUGGUUGGUUGAAUAGUAUGAUCUAACGGGUGAAAAUGAUUAAAAUGGUAGAUCUAACGGCGGAAAAACUUGGUAGCAUAAAGUGCUUCGUGAUUAAUAGCAUAGUAACCUAGCUCUAUAGAACUAGGCUACUAUGCUAUUAAUAGCACAAAUUAUUGGUGCUGCCAAGUUUUUGGCCAUUCGAUUAAGAGAUGUGUGGUUAGGAUGACGUGGGUUCCCUAGGGUUGAGUGGGUGGUUGUGUUGAAUAGUAUGCAUCUAACAGGUGAAAAUGAUUAAAAUGGUAGAUCUAACGGCGGAAAACUUGGUAGCAUAAAGUGCUUCGUGCUAUUAAUAGCAUAGUAGCCUAGCUCUAUAGAACUAGGCUACUAUGCUAUUAAUGCACAAAGUUAUUGUGCUGCAAGUUUUGGCCAUUGGAUUAAGAGAUGUGUGGUUAGGAUGACGUGGGGUCCCUAGGGUUUGAGUAGGUGGUUGAUUGAAUAGUAUGAUCUAAGGGGUGAAAAUGAUUAAAAUGGUAGAUUUAACGGCGAAAAACUUAGUAGCACCAAGUGUUUCGUGCUAUUAAUAGCAUAGUAGCCUAGCUCUCUCUCUCUCUCUCUCUCUCUCUCUAUAUAUAUAUAUAUAUAUAGGAGUUGGGCUAUGAUACUUUUACAAGUAUCACCAUCAUGGUGCAUUAGGUUUUAGCCAUUGGAUCAUCUUUUGAUUAUUAAUAGCUUGGAUAUAAACAAUAUUCCACCUUACCCACUCCACGAUCUCUCAACCUCACAUCUCUCCAUCCAAGGGCUAAAAACACACAAGUAUCACCCCCAUGAUACUUUUACAAGUAUUUUAGCCCUACUCAUAUAUAUAGUAAGGCUAGAAUACUUGUAAAAGUAUCAUGGAGGUGAUACUUGUGUGUUUUUAGCCCUUGGAUGGAGAGAUGUGAGGUUGAGAUGAUGGUGGUAGGUGGUGGUAGGUAGAAUAGUGUUUAAUCCAAGAGGCUAUUAAUAAUCAAAAAGUAGAUCCAAUGGCUUAAAACUUAAUAGCACCAUGAUGGUGAUACUUAUAAAAGUAUCAUAGCUCAACUAUAUAUAUAUAUAUAUAUAUAUAUAUAUGUGUGUGUGUGUGUGUGUGUGUGUGUGUGUG
rnacentral:lncRNA from 1 species